rnacentral:lncRNA from 1 species
UCCUUUCUGGCUUUGGUGGUGUUGAGAAAACUCCGAAAGAAUCUGGAUAGGACUUCCAUAAAAGAAAAUAGUAAAAUAAUUUUUACAUAGAGUACAGACCUAUUUAUAGAACUUACCUACAAUUUGGAUUAAUCUGCUACACCGUCAGAUCAAUGCCAUGUGUCGAUAAUCUGAUGAUUCUGAGGAAAAUUGGUUCGACGCAUAUCUUCUCGAUUGAGUCAC